rnacentral:lncRNA from 1 species
GAACAUGUAUACUUCUCAUUCCCAUGUAUAUAAUCUCUUCCCACAGAAUGAAGUGGACCAAGAACUGGGCUUCAUACGGAUGAAUUUAUUUUUUUCUCCAUGUGGAGACGUGAAGGAAAAGUAUAGGAAAUAAUUCUGCCUCCCACCCACAAGUCCCCAUGGGAAUUUCUCACAUGUUAAAAAGCAUUUUGUCCUGAAAAUAACAACAUUUUUUCUUAGGGAAUCAGGACACUCCAAUGAUGGUGAGACUCUGGCUAUGCCAGUCAGCCAUGGGCUGGUCAUUGACUGUGAUGCUGGUCUCCAUGAUUGAAUAGUGUGGGUCAUUGGUGACAGAUAGCUGUGUGCUCAGUGUCUGCCACGUAUCUCAGAUUCAAAGUCCCUUUUAUAAAUGUGACUGGAUCAUGAUGACUUAAAAAUGGAUCUCGGAAUCUGAGCAAAACGAGUGACCAAACCACUUCUGUGCCAGUUCUGUGAACUGAGGUCCAGCACAGGGACCAUGCCAGGCAAACACGUGGAGAGAGUUCAGUUUGGUCAGCAGCUGGUACCAAAAUGGCCUGUGGUAUUGGAAAACAAACCCACUCACAUAGGUUACAGCACAUGAAUUGUACAGAGGUUAAUGUGGACGAAGAACUAGAUUUCAUGUAAAAGAUUUUAUUCCUUCUACUUGAGGUGUGACUUGAAGGAAAGUAAUGGAAAUAAUUUUGCCCUCCCAUUCUCAAGGGCCGGGGGAAUUCUAAUCUUGAGCGACAUGAACCAAGAACUGGGUUUCAUAUGAAAUAUUUUAUUCUGUCCUCUUGAGAUGUGACAUGAAGAAAAGUGUUGAGAAUAUUUCUAUCACCUCAUCUUCAAGAAUCAGUAGGAAUUCUCCCAUGGUUCCAUGUGAUACUAGAGUUGCGUGGAUUUUUAAUCUUUACACCAAUGAAGAUCAGAGGUUAACAGUGCCCUUUUUUUAA